GCGGGAAUAGCUCAGUUGGUAGAGCAUAACCUUGCCAUGGUUAGGGUCGCGAGUUCGAGCCUCGUUUCCCGCUCCA
rnacentral:tRNA from 3 species